UCAAUACGUGUAGUUUUUUUUUUUUUGAGCAAUUUUUUUAAUGUAUUUAAGACCUACAAAAUUCACAUAAUUUCAACAUAUAAUUUUAAUUUUUUUUUUUAAACAUUAAAACUUUUAAACGACUUUAAAUAAAUUUUAACUCAUCGGAGUAAUAUUUUAUUUUUAUUUUAAACUAUAACUCACGGAAAACAGUCAUGCAUUUAACACUAUCAAUAUCCAUACUAAUGAUCGUAUUUACUGUACUACAAGUUCAAAGCAAGCCGUUAUGUUGUUUAUGUGAGUAAAAAUAUUGCAGUUAAAAUCAUCAAUUGUUAUGCUUAAUACUAAAAAUAUAUUUUAAGGAAUAUUUC